AAGCACAUUGUCAAAAACCUGGUUUAGUGCUGUCCUUCCCAGUGCAACCCGUUUGGCUCUUUCAGGAGUUCCACAUGAUGUUCCCAUUUGGUGUAUUUACAAGGUAUCAGGGAAGAAAACUGCACUGGAUAUAAAACUUUUCUCACAGAGUAAAAACACUGCAUGAGAGAGGAGGUGAAAUGGAAUCACUGCAACACCAGAAGGAUCUUUUCAAAGACUCUCCUGAGCAGAUUGAGCAAAACUACUGAAUUAAACAAGGGCCAGAGAAUUCCUCUACUCAAAUCAAUAGACCAUCUGCUCUGCUAUGGUGUUUCUGCCACUGGUCACAGCAGAAACAUCAAGAAAACAAAUGUGGACAUCAUUACAGAGUUAUACGUAGGGGGAUAGAGAAAAAUAUUCUUAACUGUAAUCAUAGGAGAAUAUGCAUUUU